UUCGCAAUGCCCGAAAGGGUGACGAAGCGACGCCGCGUGGGUGAGGAAGGCCCUCGGGUUGUAAAGCCCUGUCAGGAGUUAAGAAAUGUAAGUGCGCUAAUAUCGCAUUUAUUUGACGAAGGCUCCAAAGGAAGUCACGGCUAACUCUGUGCCAGCAGCCGCGGUAAUACAGAGGUGGCAAGCGUUGUUCGGAAUUAUUGGGCGUAAAGAGCACGUAGGUGGGUUUGUAAGUCAGAUGUGAAAGCCUUCUGUUCAACGGAAGAAUUGCAUCUGAAACUACGAGUCUUGAGUGUAGGAGGGGAGAAUGGAACUUCUGGUGGAGCGGUGAAAUGCGUAGAUAUCAGAAGGAACGCCGGCGGCGAAAGCGAUUCUCUGGCCUAUUACUGACACUCAGUGUGCGAAAGCUAGGGGAGCAAACGGGAUUAGAUACCCCGGUAGUCCUAGCCGUAAACGAUGGGCACUAAGUAGAGGGGUUUUA
rnacentral:rRNA from 1 species